rnacentral:rRNA from 1 species
CCCUUAGAUGUUCUGGGCCGCACGCGCGCUACACUGACGAAGUCAGCGAGCAUGUCCUACGCCGACGGGUGCGGGGAAUCUUGUCAAACUUCGUCGUGAUGGGGAUUGAUUUUUGAAAUUCUUGAUCAUAAACGAGGAAUUCCUAGUAAGCGCAAGUCAGCAGCUUGCGUUGAUUACGUCCCUGCCCUUUGUACACACCGCCCGUCGCUACUACCGAUUGAAUGGUUUAGUGAGAUCUUCGGAUUGGCGCCACUGCAGCUCAGCAAUGGGCUUGGUGGAUGCCGAAAAGUUGAUCAAACUUGAUCAUUUAGAGGAAGUAAAAGUCGUAACA